UACGUAGGGUGCAAGCGUUGCUCGGAAUCAUUGGGCGUAAAGCGCGUGUAGGCGGUUUACUAAGUCUGGUGUGAAAUCCCGGGGCUUAACUCCGGAAGUGCACUGGAUACUGGUAAACUAGAGGGUAAGAGAGGGAAGUGGAAUUCCUGGUGUAGGGGUGAAAUCCGUAGAUAUCAGGAGGAACAUCGGUGGCGAAGGCGGCUUCCUGGCUUACUACUGACGCUAAGACGCGAAAGCGUGGGGAGCAAACAGG
rnacentral:rRNA from 1 species